UUAGCUCAGGUGCCAAUCUUUAAAAAAAAGAAAAAGAGGUGAGUGAACAGUGCCUGUUGCUACCCUGCAGCAGGCUGCCUGACCCUGGCAGGGAGAGGAACUAUUCUGAAUGAGUGAGAGCCAUGGGGUGAGGACACAGGAGGGGGCCUCAUGACCAGCUGGCUGGCCUUCCAGAGGGACCCACUCAGGUCUCACCGGCACCUGGGUAAAAAAUGGGUGGAGGUAUGGGGACCACCUGGUCCUGAUCCUUUGACAUAUCCCCUCCCUGGGAAACCUCACUAAAUACAUUCUGGCCAGUCUUCACCCACCCGUGACCCCACCAUCCUGCUGAGAUCCAUAGCCGAGGGGCCCAGCACUCUUGGCUCCAGCCCCACUAUGGCCCCAUCUCCAGCCUCCGUCUCUACAGAGCGGGAAACACCACAUCCCAGCUGUCUGUCCCAAAUCCACCUGGAGGCCAGCCAGCUUGGCAGAAGCACAUCUUAGUGAGGCCAGACCCAGGAGACACUGCUGGGAAGAGGCAAGGACUAGAAGGAAGCAGCUGGGCCAACGUCGGGCCCCUUUAUGGGCCCUACCCUGCAGGGUUCCCCCUGGCACAUCCAUGCACUUACUUGCCCAUUGCUCCGUCUUCUGAGCCCCUGGUCCCCUGGGCUGCAGGCUCUAGGCCUUUCCGUGCAGUCCUGAAGAGAUGCAGGUUGCCAUGACAGCUGCGGUUGGACUCCACCCUGAUCGCCAAAGGCCUGGAGGCCAGCCUGGAGCACCACUUGGGACAGAGUGAAUCUUGUUGUGAACCCAGAGUCCCAUCUUGCGGACUUGAAAGCUUGUCAACAGACUUACGCAGAGACCCUCACUCUGAGAACAACUCCCUCCUUCUUCCUGGCCCUCCCAGCCUCCCACAGCCAGCAGCUUGCAUCAGCAGCAACAGCUGCACAGCGCUUGGGGCAGCCUGGGGCCACCACCGCCACUGUGGAAGGUGAAAGGAGAGAGAAGAGCCAGAGAAACCCAGAGUCAGGGCAUCACAGAGCAGGAUAGAGACAGCCGGAGGACACAGCAUCUGAGAGACAGUCCCCAUGGACACCUGCUCAGGGGGAAGGAGACACAGGAGAGAAUGACAAGACAAAGGCCCAGGAGAGAAGAUGACAUGAGUUAUCCAUAAUGCCCUGUGGGGCUUGCCGCUGGAGGGUCUGCUCCCCGAACAUUGCACCAACCUUGACCCUGGGCACUCGAAUGUUCGUUUUUCUGUGCCACUGGUUCUCAAAGAAUGGACAGCAUUGAGAUGAUCUGGGGCACAUUCGAGAUGAUUUUAGUUAGCCUUUAAUAACAUUGAAUUAUGGAGUGAGAAAAUUGUCCCCCUUCUCUAUCCUCUUUCCAUCCUUGUAAUGAGUCAAGGAAAAAGCCUCAGUCAGGGGCUAAUGUGUCUCUAACACCUCAUUAACACUUGCUCCUAACGCGUGUCCUUUUUUAGAAAAAGAGAGCAGCCCUCAGGCGCAGAGUCUUCACCAGCAACAUUCAGCUAUAAUUUAAUUGAUCUUCACAGUUACCUUUCUAUUUAAAGUAGUGAUAUAAAAUUUCCUUUACAAAUUUUUUUGAGUAAAACGAAAAAAAAUUCAAUCUAAACAAAUAAAUAAUAGCAUCAGUGGUAUUUGGAUAUGGUGCACACCAUGAAUGUGACACAGGGUUAUGGAAGAGUUUUGGUCCCUGGAAAAAUGCAGACACCCCUGGAAGGAGUGAUCCCUCCGAUUGGCUCUCCUGGGAACCCCCACCCAUCGCUGCUUACACCAGCUCUUGGUCUUGGGGUGACUCCUCAGCUUUUCUUCCUUGUUCUGCCGUGUUUUGAGCAUCUCAGGGGCUGAGAGUGUGGCUUAGGCCUUAGAAUCUCCCCCAGCACAGGGCCUGGAGCAGGACAAAUGUCAUCCAAAAAGUGCUCAGAGACCUGAGGUCAGAGGUCAGGCUCCACGUGAUGGCAUAUCCUAUUUGCCAUAUCCAAAUACCAACCAGGAGCCUGGAAACUGAGCUCUGUUCUCAAGCCCCAUGUUGGCCAGCGGUGUGGCCCUGGACAAGUCCCGAGUGUCUUUGAAUCUCCAUCUCCUCAUUUGACUGCCUCAGGGGUGUUUUCAGCACACUGAGUAUGUGAAAGGAGUUUGACAUCAAUAAAUCUCCAUAAGGGAUUAUUAAUAUUCUUAUUGGUUGAAUCACAAAUCCAGUGUCACUCAAAACCUUUUGGGUGCAGACAACAAGUGAAGAUGAGGUAGGAAGACAAGAGGGGGUGAUAAGAUGGGGUGAGAGGCAGGAGGGCUGGAAGGGAGGAUGCCAAGGACUGGACCCCUCCCUCACAACCUGGGCUAGGUUUGGGAGGACCUGGAAACUGCCCUCUGCAACUUCAGGCACAGGCCUCCCCCGCCACUGGGCCUCCCCAGGGAUGUCCAGCACAAAAAACCUGGUCUUUGGAGCCACGUGACUAGUGUUCAAGUUCCAGCUUGGCCACUUACUGGCUGGGUGACCUGAGGCAAAUUACUUAACCUGUCUGUGCCUCACCAUUCUCACGGAUAAAAUGGGGCCGAUGCCAACUCUGAGGGCUGUUGUGAGGAUGAAGCGAGAUCAAACACAUGUACACACGAGACCUGACACUCAGUAAGUGCUCAGUAAGCGUGGAUUUCGGGAAACUCCUGCAGGUUCCUGGAAGAAAGAUAUGGAAGUGAUUCAAGGUAGAUGAUGCUAUCUGGAGCACUUGAUUUGUAAUCUGGGAGAAUUGGACCCCUUCCCCCAAAGCUUUCCUCACCUAAAGCUAGAGCUGGAAAGUUAGAGAGUGAA